GGUGGUUCUCGGGUGACAUACCCUGGAAUUGGACUCCCUCCUCUCUGGUUCUGAGUAUGUCACCCCAGAACCGCA
rfam:Myotis davidii contig17781, whole genome shotgun sequence.